UAUCAAAAUGGUUCUGGUGUGCAUGUACCUUUAAAUUCUCCGCUCACCGGUAGUGCAUCGAAUGUGCGUAUAUUGAAAGCCACAAAGCAGAGAUACCCAACCCAAAGAAUAUGAGGAGGUCUCUGAGGUAUCGCCAUAAAAACGGUUAGGAUGAAUGACAACAAUCUUAGAGAGUCAACAGCAGAAACUACUGGGACCAUAGGAAGUUUAGACAACGCUCACUUAAUUCUGUUCUUAAAGGAGAAAUAACAGCGCCCCCGGGUGCGAGUYGCACUCAUCAGGGUCUUCUCAAGGCGGUCCUCCUCUACCUGACAAUUCACUGCCCACACUACCCAGCAGGACUGUUUAGGAGUCACACCAGGAGGACAAUAAAUGUCUCCUUGUGUCAAUAACACCAGCUGUUCUAUCUGAGCCACUGCUGGCUCUCAACGCAAACAGGGACUACUUUAUUAAACCAAAGAAAAAAUUA